rnacentral:rRNA from 1 species
GCGGUGAAAUGCGUAGAUAUCUAUCGGAACGCCGAAGGUGAAAACAGGCAGCUGGGCUUGAUCUGACGCUGAGGUACGAAAGCGUGGGGAGCGAACGGGAUUAGAUACCCCGGUAGUCCACGCCGUAAACGAUGUGCACUUGAUCAGGGUGGUUCUGACAUCUCCCGGAUCGAAGCAAAAGUGUUUAGUGCACCGCCUGGGGAGUACGGUCGCAGGGCUAAAACUCAAAUGAAUUGACGG